rnacentral:rRNA from 1 species
AUUGAACGCUGGCGGCAGGCCUAACACAUGCAAGUCGAACGAGUGGCGGACGGGUGAGUAAUGUCUGGGAAACUGCCUGAUGGAGGGGGAUAACUACUGGAAACGGUAGCUAAUACCGCAUCCCAUCGGAUGUGCCCAUAUGGGAGUAGCUAGUCGGUGGGGUAAAGGCUCACCAAGGCGACGAUCCCUAGCUGGUCUGAGAGGAUGACCAGCCACGCUGGAACGGAGACACGGUCCAGACUCCUACGGGAGGAAGCAGUGGGGAAUAUUGCACAAUGGGCGCAAGCCUGAUGCAGCCAUGCCGCGUGUAUGAAGAAGGCCUUGGGGUUGUAAAGUACUUUCAGCGGGGAGGCGUUACCCGGAGAAGAAGCACCGGCUAACUCCGUGCCAGCAGCCGCGGUAAUAC